rnacentral:rRNA from 1 species
GCCAAGCCAUAAACAUCAACUUACAACUAUAAACGCCAGGGUAUUACGAGCCUAGCUUAAAACCCAAAGGACUUGACGGUGUCCCACCACUCUAGAGGAGCCUGUUCCAUAAUCGAUGAUCCACGUUAUACCUAACCAUUUUUUGCUUUUUCAGCCUGUAUACCUCCGUCGCAAGCUUACCAUAUAAAUGAAUUAUAGUGGGCCCAAUAGAUUGAACUCUAUUACGUCAGGUCAAGGUGCAGCUUAUAAAAUGGAAAAGGAUGAGCUACAAUUUCUAACUUAGAACAAACGAAUUACUACAUGAAACACAGUCAUGAAGGUGGAUUUAGUAGUAAAUAGGGAAUAGAGAGCCCUAUUAAAUUUUAGCCCUGGGACGUGUACAAACCGCCCGUCACCCUCUUCAAUAGCCUUUUAUUGCUUCAUAACCUAACAUAGCACCUUAGAAGAGGCAAGUCGUAACAUGGUAAGUGUACUGGAAAGUGUACUUGGUAUAA